UACGUAUGGGGCGAGCGUUAUUCGGAUUCAUUGGGCGUAAAGCGCAUGUAGGUGGUCCCUUAAGUCGAUGGUGAAAUUUUCAGGCUUAACUUGAAAACCGCUGUCGAUACUGAGGGACUCGAGUUCAGGAGAGGAGAAUGGAAUUCCAGGUGUAGGGGUGGAGUCUGUAGAUAUCUGGAAGAACACCAGUGGCGAAGGCGAUUCUCUGGCCUGUGACUGACACUGAGAUGCGAAAGCUAGGGGAU
rnacentral:rRNA from 1 species